ACUUCUCUGAAGCAUCCCACGUCUCCCGAAUAAAUUAACCCCUGGUUGGGGCCAUUUCUUAAAAACAGUGACUGAUCACCUUGGGGACAGAAACGCAGCGACGACCAUCCUCUUCUGGACGUCUGCCUAGCCUACCAGCGCCCCCGAGAUACGCAAGGGAGACCGAUAGCGGAGAUUAACAGCGUUACCUGCAAGAGUGCUGCUACUGCCAGCAUCCGAGAAACCCGAAGCAGUAAGGAAAAGAAGGAGCUGGAGGGAGCGCGACGCCACGGAGGAGCUCAUGUUGCUUGCUACCGGGACAAGCUUCAGCAACAGCAAUGCAACGAGGCUUGGAUGCUUGCUCAGCAGCGCCCCGCCUGGCCGCUCAAGCAACAGGGCCUCGUUUUUUGAAACAGCCAUUGCCCUGACGCUAAACUAAUAACAGGAGCCUGACGUCAAAAGGAUCCAUCGACGAGCGGAUCAUUUACCGGGCUGGGCCCCCAAGUAAAAACAGCAGCAGAAAACGAGAAGAAAAAUCUGGCCAUCGCAAAGUUAUUUAGAAUCCAGAGCCUUUCUGGGAACGAUCAGGGAAGGACCAUAGCUCAGUGGUAGAGAAUGAUCUAAUCUCAUAAAUCUGGAUCAUAAAGAAGAACCCUUCUGGACAGACAAUGGUCAGCCAGGCAAGCAGGGCAUGACGCCACCAGCAACAGCACCUUCUCUUCCAUCAGCUUGUAUUUAGUGGCUCAGCAAUCUCUGAAGAUAUGAUAGACCCAUUCUCCUUGAAUUAGCCUAAUCCCCUUUUAAUGCCUUCUAAGCUGGUGCCCAUUACACCUUGUGAUGGUGGAAUUCCAGGCAUUUCUUUUGUGUUGUAUGUACUUCCUUUUGUGUUAAACUGGCAAUCUGUAGUGUUGUGAAAGGGGGAGAAAAAUAUAUUUGCCCUUUUUUACCAUACAAUUUCCUAAACUUCUGUUAUAUAGAUAUCAUAUAUAUAUAUAUAUAUAUAUCUUGCAACACAAUCCUAUAAACAAAAGUAAGGUCCAUUGAAUAAACCCAUGUAAUUGUAGCCUGAGGCAUUGUCUCCAAAAACAGAUGUCUCAAAUGCAUUAGCCUUUCUUUGUAUUAUGCUUCAACCUCUGGAUCAUUCAGUGUUUUGAUAAUUUUGGUUGCCAUAUCCUCUAUCAUUUCUAGCUCUAAAAUAUCCUUUUUUGUGGUGAGGCAACCAGUACUACACAGAGUAUUCCAAAAGUUACUCCACCAUAGAUUUCUAUAAAGGUAUGACAAUACUACCUGUUUCAAUUUCAGCCCCAUUCUUAGUAAUUUAAGAAUGCCUUUUCCUGCCACCAGACAGAAUUUUUCAUUGAGCUGGCCAGUUCAGACCCCAUCAGUGCAUAUGGGAAGUUUUUUUGCCCCAAUGGGUAUCACGUACGCUUUUUUCAUUGAUUUAACACCACUGCCCAUUUAAAUUGAGCCAUCUGUAAACCUUGGCUAACUCCUAACUUCAAAUCAUUUGUAAAUACCAAUAGCAUUGGUUCCUAAUAUGGAUCCUUGAAAAACCCUGCUGUUUAUCGAUUGAUUUGUACCCACUGAUUUUAGUUCUCAGGUGUAUGCCAUCAGUAUCAAGAGUAAAGAGAAAAACAUUCACCUGAAGUUGAUGCAGUGUGGAUAGGCGCUGAUCACUUGAAAUGACAAUACUUAAUCUUCAUGUUCAGUGCAGGACAUUGUGACCAGAUACUUGUAACAAAGAAAAUAUUGAAAUUACUUCUUUGUAUUAUUGAAACUGUGACUUGAUGAAGUGAAACAAAAAUGUUUUUAAAUUUAGUUAGCUAGGAAUAUUUGUAUGCUGCCCUAUAACCUAAAGUACUCUUGGUAGCCUUUUCUAAGGGCUCACUAGGAUUAAGCUUUGACGUCUGUUUUAAAUGACAGAACUCAGCCCUGAACAUGUGAAGUAUUAAUAAAUAUAAGAAUAUCUCUGAGUGUGUGCAGAGUGAUUUAUUCUUCUCAACUCUUGUCUCACCUGUGCUAGACUAAUAA